GGUACAUGGCUCAAUUGGUGGAGCGUCCGGCCGUUAACCGGAAGGCCGCAGGUUCGAAUCCUGCUGUGCC
rnacentral:tRNA from 1 species